rnacentral:lncRNA from 1 species
CUUGAAGCCAUUUAGAAAGCACUCAUUUUGAGUUUUGUCAGAUUCGGUCUGCCAGAUGUAGCAUGCAUGGGUUAGUCCAGGACUUACUGUAAGGCCUUUCCGACUGAGGCAGAGGUGGAUCUGUUCAACAGACUGCAGACCCAGGGCCUCGAGCAGUCUGUAACCAUGUUUACCUGGUUUUCCUCACAUGGGAAGCAAAAACAAAAGCUUGAGAAAAAAAAUGGCCUUCAGUUAUUCACUUUCUAGCUCAGAGAACCCAGGACAUACCACGAAGAACAAAUAGGUCUAGGGAAGAGAAAAAGUGUUGGCCAAAAGGCGCUAUGCCUUAGACCAGGGAAAUGGGUUUUGUUUUGUUGCAUAGUAGGUGACUACAUUAAUAAUCAUAAAUUGUUUGUUUCAAAGUUACUAAAGAGUUUUGAAGAUUUUCUAUUCCCCCAAAACCAUAAGUAGGUAAGAUGAAGCAUGAUAAUAAGCUUGGCGAUUUAAUUAUUUACAUGUGUUUAUGUACCAAAACAUUAUUCCACACCACCUCAUAAUUGCACAAAAUUGCCAUAUUUCAAUGUAAACUAAAAAUAAAAAAACAAGG